GCAUUAUCAUAUGUCUCUAUGUAGAAGACCAACUCAUAUCUGGUUCAAACAUUCAUGUUGUAAAUAUUAUGAAAUCAUUGUUGUGUAACAACUUUGAUAUGAAAUACCUCGGAGAAAUGAGUGUAAUCUUUGGAAUCAACAUUACUAGGUCAGAAAAGGAAAUUUCUUUGGAUCAAUCUCACUUUGUUGAAAAGAUCCUAAAGAAAUACAAAUAUUUUGAUUGUAAACCUGCUUGCACACCAUAUGAUUCGAGUAUGAAAUUUUUCAAAAACACAGAUGAAUGUGUUAAACAAACUGAAUAUGCGAGCAUCAUUGGCAGUCUCAGGUAUGCCAGUAACUCUAUUAUACCUGACAUUGCCUACGUUGUGGGACUAUUGUGCAGGUUUACUAGUAUACCUAAUAUGGAGUAUUGACACGCUAUCGAAAGAGUCAUAGAAUACCUUAAAAGGAUCAUGUGUCUUGGAUUACAAUAUCAAAGAUUUUUUGUCGUCCAAAACAAUCAGUAGCUAUAUUUUUAGUAUAGUCGAUGGUGCUAUAUCUUGGAAAUCGAAGAAAUAUUGGCUCGGUCCACUAUGAAUUCUAAAAUAAUAGCCCUAACUAUUGCCAGUGAAGAAGCAAAUUGGUUGAGAUGAUUGCUAGAUGAGAUUCUUUUAUGGAAAAAACAUGAUUGCUAGAUUAGAUCCCUUUAUGGAAAAAAAUCUAUGCAAGUUGUGUUGAUCCACUGAGGAGUGCACUAUGUUUGAAUAGCACUAGCAAACAACUUGGUUACCAAUAGUUUAGGAUUAAAUUGGUAUUAAAUUCUUACUAAUGACUACCUUGUAAAGAUUGUUCAAACUGACAGGGUAAUUAACAUGGUAUGCGUGAUGAUGAUGUUUAAGAAUUUGUAAAUUAAUAAUAUAUUGAGGCUUCACGGUUCAUUAUUGUAUUGUGUGGGUUAAGCACAUUUUGGCGAAUGUUAUAGUUGGUUUCAAAAUUUCAGAUGUAUGCACGGUAAGUGUUUGAUAGAAAUGCAAAAUGGUGAUAAAAGAGGGUUCUAAUACAUUGUGGGAAAUAGGAAUGAAUACACAGAAAAUGUGAAACCAUUGAAAGCGAACCUUCACAUUUGUUGGAUUCCAUUGCGAUCCAGGACGCGUGUUGUUAUCAUUAUGCACGGCUGGAGGGGGAAUCUACGAGGGUGGUAGAGGACGUCGCCGCCGAGGACGGAUAGAUCUUCUUGAUUUGGAUUUGUCGAGGCUGUGAAUUGUGAUAGUCGAAUUUGGAUGCUGUGUUUCUCUUAGAUGCGGUUUAUACACUAUGAUUAUUUUCAUAUAUAUCAUCGGUGCAAAAAG
rnacentral:lncRNA from 1 species